rnacentral:rRNA from 1 species
AGCUCCACUAGCGUAUGCUAAAGUUGCUGCAGUUAAAAAGCUCGUAGUUGAACCUUGGGCUGUUGGGGGUGUGGUGCGAUGAAUGUCGUUACUGCGCUCUCCGGCCUCUUUGGGGAGGGUGCACCUCGCGUGUAUCAUUCCCCGUGUUACUGUGAAGAAAUUAGAGUGUUUAAAGCAGGCGAUCGCUUGAAUACAUCAGCAUGGAAUAACAGGAUAGGACUCUGUCGAUCUUGUUGGUUUGGGGAUAGGAGUAAUGAUUGAUAGGAACAGUUGGGGGCAUUAGUAUUUAGCAGUCAGAGGUGAAAUUCUUGGAUUUGCUAAAGACUAACUAGUGCGAAAGCAUUUGCCAAGGAUGUUUUCA